UACGGAAGGCAGCAGUGGGGAAUAUUGCACAAUGGGCGCAAGCCUGAUGCAGCCAUGCCGCGUGUAUGAAGAAGGCCUUCGGGUUGUAAAGUACUUUCAGUCGUGAGGAAGGUGUUAAGGUUAAUAACCUUAGCAAUUGACGUUAGCGACAGAAGAAGCACCGGCUAACUCCGUGCCAGCAGCCGCGGUAAUACGGAGGGUGCGAGCGUUAAUCGGAAUUACUGGGCGUAAAGGGCACGCAGGCGGUUAAUUAAGUUGGAUGUGAAAUCCCCGGGCUUAACCUGGGAAUGGCAUUCAAGACUGGUUAGCUAGAGUCUUGUAGAGGGGGUAGAAUUCCAUGUGUAGCGGUGAAAUGCGUAGAGAUGUGGAGGAAUACCGGUGGCGAAGGCGGCCCCUGGGACAAAGACUGACGCUCAUGUGCGAAAGCU
rnacentral:rRNA from 1 species